GAUGAACGCUGGCGGCGUGCCUAAUACAUGCAAGUCGAGCGAAUGGAUUAAGAGCUUGCUCUUAUGAAGUUAGCGGCGGACGGGUGAGUAACACGUGGGUAACCUGCCCAUAAGACUGGGAUAACUCCGGGAAACCGGGGCUAAUACCGGAUAACAUUUUGAACCGCAUGGUUCGAAAUUGAGAGGCGGCUUCGGCUGUCACUUAUGGAUGGACCCGCGUCGCAUUAGCUAGUUGGUGAGGUAACGGCUCACCACGGCAACGAUGCGUAGCCGACCUGAGAGGGUGAUCGGCCACACUGGGACUGAGACACGGCCCAGACUCCUACGGGAGGCAGCAGUAGGGAAUCUUCCGCAAUGGACGAAAGUCUGACGGAGCAACGCCGCGUGAGUGAUGAAGGCUUUCGGGUCGUAAAACUCUGUUGUUAGGGAAGGACAAGUGCUAGUUGAAUAAGCUGGCACCUUGACGGUACCUAACCAGAAAGCCACGGCUAACUACGUGCCAGCAGCCGCCGUAA
rnacentral:rRNA from 1 species